AACAAACGCUGGCGGCGUGCCUAACACAUGCAAGUCGAACGGCAGCACGGGAGCAAUCCUGGUGGCGAGUGGCGAACGGGUGAGUAAUAUAUCGGAACGUGCCCAGUCGUGGGGGAUAACGCAGCGAAAGUUGUGCUAAUACCGCAUACGAUCUAUGGAUGAAAGCGGGGGAUCGCAAGACCUCGCGCGAUUGGAGCGGCCGAUAUCAGAUUAGGUUGUUGGUGAGGUAAAAGCUCACCAAGCCUGCGAUCUGUAGCUGGUCUGAGAGGACGACCAGCCACACUGGAACUGAGACACGGUCCAGACUCCUACGGGAGGCAGCAGUGGGGAAUUUUGGACAAUGGACGAAAGUCUGAUCCAGCAAUGCCGCGUGCAGGACGAAGGCCUUCGGUUGUAACUGCUUUGUACUAGAACGAAAAGUACUUUAAUAACACUAGAGGCUCAUGACGGUACUGUAAGAAUAAGCACCGGCUAACUACGUGCC
rnacentral:rRNA from 1 species